rnacentral:rRNA from 1 species
AACGAACGCUGGCGGCAGGCUUAACACAUGCAAGUCGAACGCACAUUUCGGGGUGAGUGGCCGACGGGUGAGUAACGCGUGGGAAUCUACCCUUCUCUACGGGCUAGCUCCGGGAAACUGGAAUUAAUACCGUAUACGUCCUGAGGGAGAAAGAUUUAUCGGGGAAGGAUGAGCCCGCGUUGGAUUAGCUAGUUGGUGGGGUAAAGGCCUACCAAGGCGACGAUCCAUAGCUGGUCUAAGAGGAUGAUCAGCCACAUUGGGACUGAGACACGGCCCAAACUCCUACGAGAGGCAGCAGUGGGGAAGAUUGAACGAUGGGCGCAAGCCUGAGCCAGCCAGGCCGCGUAAGUGAUUAAGGCCCUAAGGUUGUAAAGCUCUGUCAGUAGGGACGAUAAGAACGGAACCCACAGGAGAAGCCCCGGCUAACUUCGU